rnacentral:rRNA from 1 species
AUUGAACGCUGGCGGCAGGCCUAACACAUGCCAGUCGAACGGUAACAGGAAGAAGCUUGCUUCUUUGCUGACGAGUGGCGGACGGGUGAGUAAUGUCUGGGAAACUGCCUGAUGGAGGGGGAUAACUACUGGAAACGGUAGCUAAUACCGCAUAACGUCGCAAGACCAAAGAGGGGGACCUUCGGGCCUCUUGCCAUCGGAUGUGCCCAGAUGGGAUUAGCUAGUAGGUGGGGUAACGGCUCACCUAGGCGACGAUCCCUAGCUGGUCUGAGAGGAUGACCAGCCACACUGGAACUGAGACACGGUCCAGACUCCUACGGGAGGCAGCAGUGGGGAAUAUUGCACAAUGGGUGCAAGCCUGAUGCAGCCAUGCCGCGUGUAUGAAGAAGGCCUUCGGGUUGUAAAGUACUUUCAGCGGGGAGGAAGGGAGUAAAGUUAAUACCUUUGCUCAUUGACGUUACCCGCAGAAGAAGCACCGGCUAACUCCGUG